rnacentral:misc_RNA from 1 species
AGGCACGGCCCGGAGGAGACCCCUAAACUCUGUUUUUAGUGGAACUUCUGAGUAAAACAAACAAAUAAAUCAAAACUUUCAACAACGGAUCUCUUGGUUCUGGCAUCGAUGAAGAACGCAGCAAAAUGCGAUAAGUAAUGUGAAUUGCAGAAUUCAGUGAAUCAUCGAAUCUUUGAACGCACAUUGCGCCCGCCAGUAUUCUGGCGGGCAUGCCUGUUCGAGCGUCAUUUCAACCCUCAAGCUCAGCUUGGUGUUGGGACUCGCGGUAACCCGCGUUCCCCAAAUCGAUUGGCGGUCACGUCGAGCUUCCAUAGCGUAGUAAUCAUACACCUCGUUACUGGUAAUCGUCGCGGCCACGCCGUAAAACCCCAACUUCUGAAUGUUGACCUCGGAUCAGGUAGGAAUACCCGCUGAACUUAAGCAUAUCAAUAAGCGGGAGGAAUUU